AGAGCGAGCGAGGAAGGGAGGGGGAGAGAGAGAGAGAGAGAGAACAGAUCUAGAUCGGGUUAAUCAAGGACACGAAUUUGAAAAUCUCACUCAAAUAUGAAAUUUGAUUUGUAAGCCAGGGAGAGAAGAGAUCUAGAUCGAUAUUGAUAUUCGGAUCGAGAUUGAGAUCAAUCAAGGCGAUGAAUCUAAAGUUUUCAUUCAUACAUGAACUUUGAAUUAUAGAUCUAACACUUUGAGGGUAUUUUAAUUUGUAUCCAAUGGCUGAGAUCAAGGCUGCUAUUGAGGUUUCCAACACAUGGAUGAGGUUGUUCAAUAUGGUCUUUGGCAUCGACCUAGUGGGACAACUGAAUUUUUAAAUUUCAUUAUUUUGAGUCAAUUUGUGAGGAACUUGUAGUAGUUUACUUACCUUUUUAUAAUAAAUGGAACCUUGAUAUUGUCAUUUCUAUAGAAGCUUAAUGUU